AUUGAACGCUGGCGGCAGGCCUAACACAUGCAAGUCGAACGGUAACAGGAAGCAGCUUGCUGCUUCGCUGACGAGUGGCGGACGGGUGAGUAAUGUCUGGGAAACUGCCUGAUGGAGGGGGAUAACUACUGGAAACGGUAGCUAAUACCGCAUAACGUCGCAAGACCAAAGAGGGGGACCUUAGGGCCUCUUGCCAUCGGAUGUGCCCAGAUGGGAUUAGCUAGUAGGUGGGGUAACGGCUCACCUAGGCGACGAUCCCUAGCUGGUCUGAGAGGAUGACCAGCCACACUGGAACUGAGACACGGUCCAGACUCCUACGGGAGGCAGCAGUGGGGAAUAUUGCACAAUGGGCGCAAGCCUGAUGCAGCCAUGCCGCGUGUAUGAAGAAGGCCUUCGGGUUGUAAAGUACUUUCAGCGGGGAGGAAGGGGGUAAAGUUAAUACCUUUGCUCAUUGACGUUACCCGCAGAAGAAGCACCGGCUAACUCCGUG
rnacentral:rRNA from 1 species